UACGUAGGGGGCGAGCGUUGUCCGGAUUUAUUGGGCGUAAAGAGCGUGUAGGCGGCCAGGUAGGUCUGCUGUGAAAACUCGAGGCUCAACCUCGAGACGUCGGCGGAAACCAUCUGGCCUAGACGGCGAAGAGGAGAGUGGAAUUCCUGGUGUAGCGGUGAAAUGCGCAGAUAUCGGGAGGAACACCUAUGGCGAAGGCAGCUCGCUGGGACGUUACUGACGCUGAGACGCGAAAGCGUGGGGAGCGAACAGG
rnacentral:rRNA from 1 species